rnacentral:rRNA from 1 species
CGGAACUAGCCGGUCAUAAACCGGAGGAAGGUGGGGAUGACGUCAAGUCAGCAUGGCCUUUAUAUCCUGGGCUACACACACGCUACAAUGGGAAGGGACAAUAGGUUGCGAAGCCGCGAGGCGGAGCCAAUCCAGCAAAACUUCCCUCAGUUCAGAUUGCAGGCUGCAACUCGCCUGCAUGAAGUUGGAGUUGCUAGUAAACGCAGGUCAGCCAUACUGCGUUGAAUACGUUCCCGGGUCUU